AAGAAAGCAUUUUUUUUUUAUUUUAUAUUUUCUUCCAUUGAAGGAUCAAGAUUUUUGUUUACAAUGGGUCAUUGUACUUCAAGAAAAUGUUCGACAAAUUGUACCAGGCUGAUUGGAAACCAGAGUCACCAGAUAAGUUUGGUGAUAUUGCCGAAUUAAUCAAGUCUCUAAAUUUGGUACAACUUGAAGAUAAAAAAACCACCAGGUCAAGGACCAAAAUCAACUCAGACUUCUACAAAAGUCUCGUCUGCCAACCCCCCUACACAAAAACCUGUUGCAUAUCGUCCACCACAUGCUAAGAAUGCAGCUUCUAUUCAGG